UGGGGAAUAUUGGACAAUGGGCGCAAGCCUGAUCCAGCCAUGCCGCGUGAGUGACGAAGGCCUUAGGGUUGUAAAGCUCUUUUGGCGGGGAAGAUAAUGACGGUACCCGCAGAAUAAGCUCCGGCUAACUUCGUGCCAGCAGCCGCGGUAAUACGAAGGAUGCAAGCGUUAUCCGGAUUCAUUGGGUUUAAAGGGUGCGUAGGCGGGCUUGUAAGUCAGUGGUGAAAUCUCUCAGCUUAACUGAGAAACUGCCAUUGAUACUGCAGGCCUAGAGUAUAGAUGACGUUGGCGGAAUAUGACAUGUAGUGGUGAAAUACUUAGAUAUGUCAUAGAACACCGAUUGCGAAGGCAGCUAACGAAACUAUAACUGACGCUGAGGCACGAAAGUGCGGGGAUCAAACA
rnacentral:rRNA from 1 species